rnacentral:rRNA from 1 species
UACGUAGGGGGCUAGCGUUGUUCGGAUUUACUGGGCGUAAAGGGCGCGUAGGCGGUCAGCACAAGUCAGUUGUGAAAUCUCCGGGCUUAACUCGGAAAGGUCAACUGAUACUGUGCGACUAGAGUGCAGAAGGGGCAACUGGAAUUCUCGGUGUAGCGGUGAAAUGCGUAGAUAUCGAGAGGAACACCUGCGGCGAAGGCGGGUUGCUGGGCUGACACUGACGCUGAGGCGCGAAAGCCAGGGGAGCGAACGGG